GCAGUGCGUGGCCGAAUGGUUACGCUGUCCGCUUUGAAAGCGGAUGAUUCUGGGUUCGAUUCCCAUCUACUCCA
rnacentral:tRNA from 1 species